rnacentral:rRNA from 1 species
CCUACGGGACGCAGCAGUGGGGGAUAUUGCACAAUGGGGGAAACCCUGAUGCAGCGACGCCGCGUGGGUGAAGAAGCGCCUCGGCGCGUAAAGCCCUGUCAGCAGGGAAGAAAAUGACGGUACCUGAAGAAGACUCCGCGGCUAACUCCGGGCCAGCAGCCGCGGUAAUACGUAGGGGGUAAGCGUUAGCCGGAUUUACUGGUUGUAAAGGGGGCGCAGACGGCGAUGCAAGCCAGGAGUGAAAGCCCGGGGCCCAACCCCGGGACUGCUCUUGCAACUGCGUGGCUAGAGUGCAGGAGGGGCAGGCGGAAUUCCUGGUGUAGCGGUGAAAUGCGUAGAUAUCAGGAGGAACACCAGUGGCGAAGGCGGACUGCUGGACUGCAACUGACGUUGAGGCCCGAAAGCGUGGGGAGCAAACAGGAUUAGAUACCCCAGUAGUC